UCGGGAAUUUUGGGCAAUGGGCGAAAGCCUGACCCAGCAACGCCGCGUGAAGGAUGAAGUAUUUCGGUAUGUAAACUUCGAAAGAAUAGGAAGAAUAAAUGACGGUACUAUUUAUAAGGUCCGGCUAACUACGUGCCAGCAGCCGCGGUAAUACGUAGGGACCAAGCGUUGUUCGGAUUUACUGGGCGUAAAGGGCGCGUAGGCGGCAUGACAAGUCACUUGUGAAAUCUCUGGGCUUAACCCAGAACGGCCAAGUGAUACUGUCGCGCUAGAGUGCAGAAGGGGCAAUCGGAAUUCUUGGUGUAGCGGUGAAAUGCGUAGAUAUCAAGAGGAACACCUGAGGUGAAGACGGGUUGCUGGGCUGACACUGACGCUGAGGCGCGAAAGCGUGGGGAGCAAACAGGAUUAGAUACCCAUGUAGUCCCUGAGCGGGCUGGCAAGGCGCAU
rnacentral:rRNA from 1 species